CUUCUUUCCUUUAAUGCAAAUAUUUUCAUUUCCCAAAUUUGAAGCUGUUAAAUUUUCGAAAUUAAUUACAGAUCCAGAUGCGAAUCCAAAUCGAGAAUCAGGUAUCAAUUGUUCGCAACGGAGCAUUGUUUAUCUGCAGUUUACAGUUCUACGAGCUAGCGGUCCUACAACGACUAUGUUGCCAGUUUUACACGUUUAAAUUUACCGACUGUUGUUUUGAAUUUUACUAACAGAAUUUAUGGCAAGACUAUGUAGGAGCACGCGAGCGUUUCUGCCCCGGCGACGAUGAUGCUAAUGGCCUCUCCCGACUCGCGAUUAUUUGGCCGACAGCCCACGCCAAGCGGUAAUUACCAGAGGAAUCGUAAAAGUAAUCGCGCCUCCGCUUCCAACCACGCGUGGCGUUCAUCGUGCACUAAAUUACGCGAUGUAAAUCAUUCUUCGACGGCGGUUAAUUAAACCUGCCUGUCGUCACCUCGCCGUGACCAACAUCGCACUGUCCUCUGUACCCGAUCGUAACUGCAGAAGCUUUUUAUUUAUGGAAAUUUUCUGAGACACA